GACACCUCAGUGCUGCUGCAUGUAGUUGCUGCAAUGAGCUGAGAAAUGUGGGGUGAGGAGGAUGUGGGGACUGCAGCUUCUUUAGAAGAACUACAUAAAAGUCUGAAGUAUUUGGCUGGACUUGUGCUGUGCUACUUGGACACUCACCUGAAGCUGCUGUGUAGGGUAAGAAAUACAAGCUAAUUUUGGAUGCAAAGGAAGAAGGGGAGAAGCAGGG